rnacentral:rRNA from 1 species
AUUGAACGCUGGCGGCAGGCCUAACACAUGCAAGUCGAGCGGAGCGGCGGACGGGGGAGUAAUGCAUAGGAAUCUGACUGGUCGUGGGGGAUGACGUCCGGAAACGGGAGCUAAUACCGCAUACUAUCAGAUGAGCCUAGGUCGGAUUAGCUAGUUGGUGGUGUAACGGCCUACCAAGGCGACGAGCAGUAACGGGUCUGAGAGACUGAUCAGUCACACUGGAACUGAGACACGGUCCAGACGCCUACGGGAGUCAGCAGUGGGGAAUAUUGGACAAUGGGCGAAAGCCUGAUCCAGCCAUGCCGUGUGUGUGAAGAAGGUCUUCGGAUUGUAAAGCACUUUCAGUUGGGAGGCGUUACCAACAGAAUAAGCACCGGCUAACUUCGUGCCAGCAGCCGCGGUAAUAC